GUAAUACAAAUAUCCUCCAAUUCAGUCCUUCCAUUUUGGAUCUCAGUUUCGAGUAAGAAGCCCCAAGCCGGCUCGUGAAAAAGAAGUAAAAAUACAAGAAUUAUCCAAAGAACGAAGUUAUAGCUGAUCGAGAUGUGCUCAUGAAAUUAUAUUGGCAUUAUUACACAUUUCUGAGUCCUAGUAUGUUCAACGGAAUGGCGUGCGCCUAUCUAUACAAGGCUAUUCAAUGUAUUGCUAAUCAAAAAUUUGAGGAAUAGGAUGAUAUGUAGUUAUGCGGAUUGAAUGUUGAAAUUAGCAAAAGUUUGCUUUAACCCUAGAAUACUACUGGUGAAUGAGAAAUACGUUAAUGUCCAAGCGGUAGCCAAUUUAAAUCGUGUAUAUGUUCGUAAUUUAGUGAGUAGCCUAGUCCUUUUCAAAAAUAUGGCCUUACCAAGUCGAGCCAGAAUAUAUGCCGAUGUAAACUGUCACAAACCUAGAGAUUACUGGGAUUAUGAAAGUUACGUGGUAGACUGGGGACAACAAGAUGAUUACCAGUUGGUUAGGAAGCUAGGUAGAGGAAAAUACAGUGAAGUUUUUGAAGCAAUUAAUGUUACAAAUAAUGAGAAAUGUGUAGUAAAAGUAUUGAAGCCUGUGAAGAAGAAGAAAAUUAAACGAGAAAUAAAAAUUUUAGAGAACCUAAGGGGUGGUACAAAUAUAAUUACAUUAGAGUCAGUUGUAAAGGAUCCUGUAUCAAGAACACCAGCAUUAAUAUUCGAACAUGUAAACAAUACAGAUUUCAAGCAGCUUUACCAAACGCUUACAGAUUUUGAUAUUCGAUACUACUUAUAUGAGUUGCUCAAAGCAUUGGAUUACUGUCAUAGUAUGGGCAUUAUGCAUCGAGAUGUGAAGCCCCAUAAUGUAAUGAUAGAUCAUGAAAAUAGGAAAUUAAGAUUAAUUGAUUGGGGUUUAGCUGAGUUUUACCACCCUGGGCAGGAAUACAAUGUGAGAGUGGCCUCCAGAUACUUCAAGGGUCCUGAAUUACUUGUUGAUUACCAGAUGUAUGAUUAUUCCUUAGAUAUGUGGUCUCUGGGAUGUAUGUUAGCAAGCAUGAUAUUCAGAAAAGAACCGUUUUUCCAUGGUCACGACAACUAUGACCAAUUAGUCCGUAUUGCCAAAGUACUUGGUACCGAAGAACUUUUUGAAUACCUUGAUAGAUAUCAUAUAGAGUUAGACCCUAGAUUCAAUGAAAUUUUAGGAAGGCAUUCUCGAAAAAGGUGGGAACGUUUUGUGCAUAGUGAAAAUCAACAUUUAGUUUCUCCCGAGGCAUUAGACUUUCUGGAUAAAUUGUUACGUUAUGACCAUAUGGAACGUUUGACUGCCCGGGAUGCUAUGGAACACUCUUACUUCUACCCUGUAAUUAAAGAUCAGUGCCGAAUGAUGUCAACAGUUUCAUCUUCCCCUACUCCGCUGACAGGCAAUCUGUCUGUGGUGGGAGUAGGUGAGUAGCCCCCAGGUUUCUGGUUCGAUACAAAGCACACAAAGUAAUAAUAAUAUGAUAUGAUUCUCCUUCAGCUGCAGAAUCUCUAUCCGAUUUGGUGGAUUCUCAUCCGGUCAUUUUUAUGACGCAUGCUAAGGUUGUUAUCAAUCAUUGUUCAUCAUCCACGUCAACCUGAAAUGGAUUUGUUUUCGAUAUAUAUGAGGCGUUGAGAUUGCUUAAUGACAUAUCAUUGAGUGCACUUUUCCAGUUUAUUUAUUAUGCAAGAGAGGAGAAGUCUGUCCCCAUAUGUUGAGCGUUGUCGAAAUAUCCUUCUUCUGAAGCGUUUAGUUAACCAAUUUGGAAAUGUGUUCAGCUUGAUCAGGAUAGUUGUGUUGUUUCGAAUGUUGAUUUAGUGAUUCAAGAAGCAUUCCGUUAUUCUACUGUUGAAGGAAAGAGUCAUUUUCAACUACUGCUUGAUACUUCGAUACAAAGCAGUAGUAGCUGAAUCACUUAUUCAAUUAUAUCUUGAAAGUGAAUAAUUGCAGUUUAGGCCAUUUUACUCAUUGUGCAUAUUUGAUUAUUUGAGUUAACAUUAACCUUUUCAUAAGAAAAAUGCUUACAUUCCUCUUAACACUAUAAAGAACAUACUAAUUUCACAUUCCUGUUUUGAUAUAACGAUGACUCAAUGAAAACUUGACUAAGAAAGAGACUUUAAAGUGACAAGAUUUAUAGAUUUUGGUGCAAAUGUAAAAUAUUUUUCUCAGUAUAUACUGAAACAAAUAUUUUACAGAUGUACUAAAUACUAUGGAUUUGUCACUGUAGUCACAGUUUAAUCUUUGAGUAGAAGAAAAUGAGUAUUCUGUAAUUUUUAAUGUAAUCAAGUUAAUAUUCACUAUCGCAAUAAAUGAAUAGUUAAUAUUUCAAAAUGAAUUUUCAUCAGAUUCAUUGAAAAUUCGAUUGAUGAGAACAAGGGACAUGUUCAGGUAUACACACAAAAAAGUAGUCCGCAUGAAACUAUCAAAUAUAACAAAUAAUAUUUCACAAUUGCACCGAAAAUUAUUAAUUUGUUACUUCUUCAGAGCUUGAUCUUGGUGGUGAAGCAAAUUAGUCAUCUGGUUUUGCAAUAAUUUAUGAUUCGAAGUUUUAAGGAAGCAGUUGUCAUUUUUGAUUUUCGAAAGGGACUAAUCGGGAAUUAAAUAAUUAUGUUUGGUAAUAUGAAAUAGCA